rnacentral:rRNA from 1 species
UACGGAGGGUGCAAGCGUUAAUCGGAAUUACUGGGCGUAAAGCGCACGUAGGCGGCUCGGUAAGCUGGAUGUGAAAGCCCUGGGCUCAACCUGGGAACUGCAUUCAGAACUGCCAAGCUAGAGUAUGGUAGAGGGCAGUGGAAUUUCCGGUGUAGCGGUGAAAUGCGUAGAUAUCGGAAGGAACACCAGUGGCGAAGGCGGCUGCCUGGACCAAUACUGACGCUGAGGUGCGAAAGCGUGGGGAGCAAACAGG